UCCCUGAUGGCUGACUUGGUAAAGAAUCUGCCUGCAGUGCAGGAGACCCAGGUUCGAUCCCUGGCUUAGGAA
rnacentral:tRNA from 1 species